GACGAACGCUGGCGGCGUGCCUAAUACAUGCAAGUAGAACGCUGAAGCGAGGAGCUUACUCUUCUUGGAUGAGUUGCGAACGGGUGAGUAACGCGUAGGUAACCUGCCUUGUAGCGGGGGAUAACUAUUGGAAACGAUAGCUAAUACCGCAUAACAAUGGAUGACACAUGUCAUUUAGUUGAAAGGGGCAAUUGCUCCACUACAAGAUGGACCUGCGUUGUAUUAGCUAGUAGGUGAGGUAAUGGCUCACCUAGGCGACGAUACAUAGCCGACCUGAGAGGGUGAUCGGCCACACUGGGACUGAGACACGGCCCAGACUCCUACGGGAGGCAGCAGUAGGGCAUCUUCGGCAAUGGGGGCAACCCUGACCGAGCAACGCCGCGGGAGUGAAGAAGGUUUUCGGGUCGUAAAGCUCUGUUGUAAGUCAAGAACGGGUGUGAGAGUGGAAAGUUCACACUGUGACGGUAGCUUACCAGAAAGGGACGGCUAACUACGUG
rnacentral:rRNA from 1 species